CCCUGCCCGCUGUGUGUGAGGGGAGGAGAGGCGAGGCUGCCCCCACCUCAGCCCCCCGCCGCCCCUCAGCUCUCCCUCCGUCCUCCCACCCCUCCUCGGUGUGUGUGAGGGGAGGAGAGGCCAUCCGCGCCUCAGCCCCCCAGCUCGCCCUCCGCCGCAUGGCCGCGGCAGCAGGCCGAAGCUGCCCCUCCGUGAGGGAACCGCCAAUGGGAGGCUCACCGCGCUCCUGAGGGAAGGAAGGAAAGAGGACGGGCGAGGCUCAGCGAGAGCGGGCUGCCCCUGCGGCACCUCGCCCCCUUGCUCCUCGCCCCGGGGACCGGGGCUGAGCUGUAUACUGAAACCAGUAGAGGAAGCAAAGGAAAAUCCGCACUUAGUGCCGAGAAGACUCAAGAGGUCUACUUGCAAUAUGAGAGUGGAAAGUACUGCCCUGCGACCCUCCAUGUGAAAACCAGCUAGAAAGAUAAAAUGACGCCAUCCUUAAAAAUGCAAGUCUUUCACAGUAGUAGUUGAAAGCACAAAGUAUUACAGUGUUUGGUUUUUGGUGUUCUGGAUGACUUUUGUGACAUUUAUUUGUUUAUCCAUAACGGUACACCAUCAUCUUCUCUUUGAGGCUUAUUUUAGAAUAAAAUAAAAUACAAAAACAUCUGACAGACACCAUUGUACGUUAAAGCCUUCAUUAAAUGGUAUGGAAGAUGAAUAAUUUA